UAGUUGGUGAGGUAACGGCCCACCAAGGCAACGAUCAGUAGCCGGCCUGAGAGGGCGAACGGCCACACUGGAACUGAGACACGGUCCAGACUCCUACGGGAGGCAGCAGUGGGGAAUUUUGCGCAAUGGGCGAAAGCCUGACGCAGCAACGCCGCGUGGAGGAUGAAGGCCUUCGGGUCGUAAACUCCUGUCGAUGGGGACGAAAGCCUAGCAAUAGGCGUGACUGUACCCGUUGAGGAAGCCACGGCUAACUCCGUGCCAGCAGCCGCGGUAAUACGGAGGUGGCAAGCGUUGUUCGGAAUUACUGGGCGUAAAGGGCGCGUAGGCGGCCGGACAAGUCAGAUGUGAAAGCCCCGGGCUCAACUCGGGAAUUGCAUCUGAAACUGUUUGGCUUGAGUUCUGGAGGGGGUAGUGGAAUUCCCAGUGUAGCGGUGAAAUGCGUAGAUAUUGGGAGGAACACCUGCGGCGAAGGCGGCUACCUGGACAGGAACUGACGCUGAGGCGCGAAAGCUAGGGGAGCGAACGGGAUUAGAUACCCCGGUAGUCCUAGCCGUAAACGAUGGGCACUUGGUGUUGGGGGUAUUGAGUCCCUCGGUGCUGGAGUUAACACGUUAAGUGCCCCGCCUGGGGAGUACGGUCGCAAGACUGAAACUCAAAGGAAUUGACGGGGGCCCGCACAAGCGGUGGAGCAUGUGGUUCAAUUCGACGCAACGCGAAGAACCUUACCGGGGCUUGAACUGUAACUGCUACUCGAUGAAAGUCGGUAUUCUCUUCGGAGACGGUUAUAGAGGUGCUGCAUGGCUGUCGUCAGCUCGUGUCGUGAGAUGUUGGGUUAAGUCCCGCAACGAGCGCAACCCUUGCCCUUAGUUGCCAUCAGGUCAAGCUGGGCACCCUAAGGGAACUGUCGGCGAAAAGCCGGAGGAAGGUGGGGAUGACGUCAAGUCCUCAUGGCCCUUACGUCCCGGGCUACACACGUGCUACAAUGGCUGGUACAAAGGGUUGCCAACCCGCGAGGGGGAGCUAAUCCCAAAAAACCAGUCCCAGUUCGGAUUGCAGUCUGCAACUCGACUGCAUGAAGGCGGAAUCGCUAGUAAUCGCAGAUCAGCACGCUGCGGUGAAUACGUUCCCGGGCCUUGUACACACCGCCCGUCACAUCACGAAAGUGGGUUGUACUAGAAAUCGCCGGGCUAACCCGCGAGG
rnacentral:rRNA from 1 species